GAUGGUAUAGCUCAGUGGUAGAGCACGUGCCUAGCAUGCAUGAGGUUCUGGGUUUAAUCCCAAGUACCUCCA
rnacentral:tRNA from 1 species